rnacentral:rRNA from 1 species
UACGAAGGGGGCUAGCGUUGCUCGGAAUCACUGGGCGUAAAGGGAGCGUAGGCGGACAGUUUAGUCAGAGGUGAAAGCCCAGGGCUCAACCUUGGAAUUGCCUUUGAUACUGGCUGUCUUGAGUACGGGAGAGGUGUGUGGAACUCCGAGUGUAGAGGUGAAAUUCGUAGAUAUUCGGAAGAACACCAGUGGCGAAGGCGACACACUGGCCCGUUACUGACGCUGAGGCUCGAAAGCGUGGGGAGCAAACAGG